rnacentral:rRNA from 1 species
GAGUGGGGAGGGAGGGUGUGAGAGGUUGGAAGGUUCGCCUACCUGCCUUUUCACCUGACCUGCUCUACAUUUGCACGGGGUGUCAAGUGAGUGAGUAGCUUUUCUACCUGCUUGCUUGUGCUUCGAUGUUUACGCUUGUUUGUUUGACAAAGUAUAUGUGACCCCCGCAAAGACAACUUUUAACAAUGGAUCUCUUGGCUCUUGCAACGAUGAAGAACGCAGUAAAGUGCGAUAUGUAGUGCGAUUUGCAUGAAUCUGUGAGUCAUCUAAUCUUUGAACGCAACUUGCGCCUCUAUGAGGCAUGUCUGUUUGAGUGCCGCAUCUCUAUAUGCAGCAAUGCGAUUUGACCAAGGUCUUGUGGAGUAGUAAUACUCUGUGGGACUAGGUUUAAUACUAGUCAGUUAGGGUGGUGGGCUUAUUCUGCCGAGUGCUAAGCAUUCUUGGCCAGUGUACUGUCUACUGCUCCAAUAUACUUUUAUUAUUGGCCUCAAAUCAGGCAAGACUACCCGCUGAACUUAAGCAUAUCAAUAAGCGGAGGAA